rnacentral:rRNA from 1 species
UACGGAAGGCAGCAGUGGGGAAUAUUGCACAAUGGGCGCAAGCCUGAUGCAGCCAUGCCGCGUGUAUGAAAAAGGCCUUCGGGUUGUAAAGUACUUUCAGUCGUGAGGAAGGUGUUAAGGUUAAUAACCUUAGCAAUUGACGUUAGCGACAGAAGAAGCACCGGCUAACUCCGUGCCAGCAGCCGCGGUAAUACGGAGGGUGCGAGCGUUAAUCGGAAUUACUGGGCGUAAAGGGCACGCAGGCGGUUAAUUAAGUUGGAUGUGAAAUCCCCGGGCUUAACCUGGGAAUGGCAUUCAAGACUGGUUAGCUAGAGUCUUGUAGAGGGGGUAGAAUUCCAUGUGUAGCGGUGAAAUGCGUAGAGAUGUGGAGGAAUACCGGUGGCGAAGGCGGCCCCUGGACAAAGACUGACGCUCAUGUGCGAAAGCGUGGGGAGCGAAACAGGGAUUAGAU